rnacentral:rRNA from 1 species
UACGUAGGGGGCGAGCGUUGUCCGGAAUCAUUGGGCGUAAAGCGCGUGUAGGCGGUCCGGUAAGUCCGCUGUGAAAGUCGGGGGCUCAACCUCGGAUGCCGGUGGAGUACUGUCGGGCUUGAGCUUACUAGAGGCAGAUGGAAUUCCGGGUGUAGCGGUGGAAUGCGCAGAGUAUCAGGAGGAACACCGGUGGCGAAGGCGGGUCUCUGGGCCGUAACUGGACGCUGAGGAGCGAAAGCAUGGGGAGCGAACAGGA